rnacentral:lncRNA from 1 species
GAUUCAAACAGCGGAUAAUACAAGCCAAAGUUUUCUUUCUGUGGAAAAGUUGAUGCGCCUUUUAAGAAGUGAACAACCAAGUUAUUUGCCUGGAAAAGUCUCCUGAAAUACUGAAGUUAUGCUAAAGAAGGAGAAGAGAAAGGAAGCUGCAGUCCCUGUAUAACUCCUAAAUUUUUAAUUUGGAGUUCCUCUUCUUCGGUGCAACAAUCUUUCUGCAUGCACAGAUCCAUGUGGCACUCAUCUCAUCAUUCUGAGGGAAGAAAGAUGCAUAGGGAAUGUUGCAUGUGGUUAUUUCUAACCCACAGAAAACAAUAAAGCACGAGAGAAAAGAGGAUGGCAGUUUACCCAGGAAACAUAGGUUGUGCAAAGCUUUGCAAUGAUACUCUCAAUUCAGAGCAAUGAAGAACAGAAUGCUGUCUUCCCAUAAUGAUGGCAUUCAAUUAUCACUAGACUUACAAGACUACAGAAAAUUUCUCAAGAACCAGUAAGGAUCAGACAGAGCCAAUGACAAUACUGAAGAAGCUUGCCAGUGGAGAAUGAAAGCUCAGUUACACAAAUUACGUUGUUGAACCAGUGCCAGAAAUAAAAUGUGAUGGACAAACUCAUUAAUUAUGAGCGUGAACCAGACAAAACUGAGAAUAAGGUGGGAAUUCCUUCAUAAUCUGUCCCUACUUAGUUGCACCAUAACCAUAAAUAUUGUAAGAGGCAAAAGAGUGGUAAAAAGCUCAUUAACACUGAGAUUAUUCUUGUUAAUUCAUCUGAAUGAGACCUUAACGUACAAAAUAACUUGAAUUACAGAAAAUGUUGAAAAGUUGUAUUUCUUGCACAUCUAAGAUUGAGAGGGAGAUAUAUGUGUGAAUUGUCACGAAAGGCCAUCUUCAAGAUAUCACAAUCAAUCUGUAGAUUAAGGUCAGCCAAUAUAAUAUUCCAACCUGAACCUUUGAAAACUGAACAGGAGUGAGUAUAAUAAUCUCUAGAAAAGCAUCAGUUAAGAUUCUAGCUUGGCCAUCUCCAUCAUCUGUGUCCUUUAUUUCUAAUAACCUUCAAGUUUUCUAUAUAUGACAUUAUCUUUCCAGUCUCCUCGGAAAAAUUGCUCUUCACUUCAAUUAGUUUGAAUCAGUUUAUUUUGCUUUCCACCAAGAGCUGAAAUUUUUCUAAACCUGCACACUCACUUAUGAAGUCCCUAGAGAUUACACGUUACUUGUGUUCCUUAGUCUUCAUUCCUUGUUCUUAUCCUGUUUACUCUUCUAUGCAUCAAUUCUGUGAGAGGCAAAACCAAUUUUUAUGUGUGUAAAAGGGAAAAAAACAUAUGUGCAUAACUAAUGACUUCUGAAAUUUAUUAUGACAAGAACCCUCCCACUCAGAAGAAUUAUGAAGGCUUGUUGUAAAAAAUAAGAAAAUAAGUCUUUGAUAAUGACAGACAACAAUUAGGUUGCUUGGACUUCAGAAUUUUAUUCUAAAUAAACCUUCUAAACUGAACUUACUACCCCAAACCUUGCCUCAAUCUGCCUGUGAUAGUAAGGUAAGAUUUAUUCAAUUCACCAAGUCAGCUAAGAUCAGGUUAACUCUUGCCUUCUCAAAGUGUCCCACUAUCAAGAUAUCCAAGGUAAUCACACCUCUCCUGCAACAAAAAUUUACAAAUACAGCAAGAAUGGUAUAAGAACAAACAUGUGUCCUUACAUUGGUCCUAUUGUGUCCAGAAUUGGUGGGUUCUUGGUCUCACUGACUUCAAGAAUGAAGCCGCGGACCCUCACGGUGAGUGUUACAGUUCUUAAAGAUGGUGUGUCUGCAAUUGUUCAUUUUUUCCAGUGGGUUCAUGGUCUGGCUGGCCUCAGUAGUGAAGCUGCAGGCCUUCAUCUUUAGUGUCACAGUUCCUAAAGGUGGCACGUCCAGAGUUGUUCGUUCCUCCCAUCCAGAGUUAUUCGCCCCUCCUGGUGGGUGGAUUCAUGAUCUCGCUGGCUUCAGGAGUGAAGCUGCAGACCUUCUCGGUGAGAGUUACAGCUCAUAAAGAUGGUGCAGACCGAAAGAAUAAGCAGCAGCAAGAUUUAUUGCAAAGAGCAAAAGAAGCAAAG